GCACUAGUAGCUUAAAUAUUAAAGCAUUGGUCUUGUAAACCAAAGACUAAAGUUUAAAAUCUUUCUAGUGUU
rnacentral:tRNA from 1 species